GUCUACGGCCAUGCCCAAUCUCGUGUGAUCUCAGAAGUUAAGCAGGAUUGGGCCUGGUUAGUACUUGGAUGGGAGACCACCUAAGAAGACCAGGUGGUGUAGGCG
rnacentral:rRNA from 1 species